UGGGGAAUAUUGCGCAAUGGGGGCAACCCUGACGCAGCAACGCCGCGUGAUUGAAGAAGGCCUCGGUUGUAAGAUCUUAAUUAGGGACGGAAAAAUAGACGGUACCUAAAGAAUAAGCUCCGGCUAACUACGUGCC
rnacentral:rRNA from 1 species